rnacentral:snoRNA from 1 species
CUUCCGUGAUGAUACGAUGACGAGUCUGAAUGGGUAAACACUUUCUCGGCGGUCGUUGUCUGCGGCACGUUCUGUGCUGUUGAUGGACGCCGCUGAUUUAGGAUUACCUCUACUCUUGAUGUCCAUGAGGCAUUUGUCUGAGAAGG